GAGCGAGAGAGAGUUACUUUCUCAAGCGAGUGGCGAACGGGUGAGUAACGCGUGAGGAACCUGCCUCAAAGAGGGGGACAACAGUUGGAAACGACUGCUAAUACCGCAUAAGCCCACGACCCGGCAUCGGGUAGAGGGAAAAGGAGCAAUCCGCUUUGAGAUGGCCUCGCGUCCGAUUAGCUAGUUGGUGAGGUAAUGGCCCACCAAGGCGACGAUCGGUAGCCGGACUGAGAGGUUGAACGGCCACAUUGGGACUGAGACACGGCCCAGACUCCUACGGGAGGCAGCAGUGGGGAAUAUUGCACAAUGGGGGAAACCCUGAUGCAGCGACGCCGCGUGGAGGAAGAAGGUCUUCGGAUUGUAAACUCCUGUUGUUGAGGAAGAUAAUGACGGUACUCAACAAGGAAGUGACGGCUAACUACGUGCCAGCAGCCGCGGUAAAACGUAGGUCACAAGCGUUGUCCGGAAUUACUGGGUGUAAAGGGAGCGCAGGCGGGAAGACAAGUUGGAAGUGAAAUCCAUGGGCUCAACCCAUGAACUGCUUUCAAAACUGUUUUUCUUGAGUAGUGCAGAGGUAGGCGGAAUUCCCGGUGUAGCGGUGGAAUGCGUAGAUAUCGGGAGGAACACCAGUGGCG
rnacentral:rRNA from 1 species